CUGAUUGCUCCAGCAUUAUAUAUGACAUGAUGGAUUGUCUCUCGUACCUUACCCCUGGAUCAAAUGAUACUAAGCCCACAAAAGUUUGUUGUCGGGGAAUUCUAUCUGUUCUACAAUAUAAUCCUAAGUGUAUUUGCGUUGGUUUAGAAUGUAGCAAAACGAUGGGGUUUGCAGUGAAUAACACUAGAGCUCGUGCUAUGCCUACGACUUGCAAGCUCCCCAUUGUUGCUCCUCAUUGCGCGAUCCUGGAAGAGGCGACACCGGCUGCAACUACUGCUCGUAUGUCUCCGAGUACGUUUCUUUUGGCUUUUUUCUUUGAUAAUUAAUCGACUAUGUUUCAUAGUUAAUAUUGAAGGCUUCUCUGUGUUUUUUCUUUUGCCUUACAGAUCGAUUAUACAGUAUUAAAAAUAGUGUGGUAUCUUAAGUUUUAUUUUUAGUAAUUUUACUAUAUUUUCUGGUAAAUCAAAUUUAUUUCAUAUUUCAUUGAGGAUCAUUAGAAUUAUAAAAAGUAAAUUAUUGGUACCGUAUUGGCAAUAAUUACAAGUGAGCUACACUUUUGGUAUGUAAACUUUCUUUACUUUUUUAAUGAUAUAUUUCUUAUAUAUUAAAAGAGACAUAUUACAACAUUUAAGUGUUGUCAUGUAUCAUCACUAGAAUGACUCUUACAAUCCUUAGAAAAAUAGGUUAGUCCAUCUAAAUAUAAAUUAUAAUUUUUUAAACUAAUCAUAAAAGUAAUUAGUAAUUUAAAAAAUAGUUUUUCUUUCUUUUCUUAAAUAAAAACAACGAAAUUAUCUAAUAUGACUAAAAUAUAUAUGACAAUUAAUGAUUUAAACUAAUAAAGAUUUGAUAACAAUUUGUGUAUCCUCUUUUUUUUUAAUUUAUAUUAUUAAAAUUAAUCAAAUAAUUAAAUAAUUAAAAUUUAGGUUUUUGCAUAUAAUAUAUUUAAAAUUUUUAAAAAUAAAUAAAAAUUAAAAAAGUAAAGUCUCACUGAAAUGUUUUGUGGUCAAUAGCUAAUUUUUUUGUUAUAACAAGAUACAAAUGAUAAUAAAAUCAUAUGAUUAUGAAAUUCUAUUUAAUAGAUAUUUAUAUUAAUAUAUAUAUAUAUAUAUAUAUAUAUAUAUAUAUAAUUCUCGCUCCCGGGUUAUUACCUUGUUUUGUAUUAUAUUCGUAGUCAGAGCUGAAUAUUGGGAAGAAGAAAAAUGAAUCUGAAAUGUUUUGUUGAUUAUUGAAAAGACAUGCAUCAACCCAUUUCAUCUUCUAUGAGAAUGUUGUAUACCAUAAUUUUUGGAUUUGUUACUUAAAUUGCAAUUGUAUAAUUAGUUUAGUCUUAGAUUUGCUUUUUUUUUUUGAAAAAAAACUAAAGUCUUCUUUCAAUAUUUUGUUUUAUUUAUAUUAUAUAUUUUUUGAACAUAUUUUUUGUAUAUUUAUGUCAUAUGCUAUGUUAAGAAAUAUAAUGUAUGAAUGAUAAUAAUGAUGCAGUUUCUCCAUCGGCUGGAACAUCUAUGACUUCGCCAUCUUCGGUCGGGUCACCAACAUCUUCACCAUCUUUGGCUGAGUCGCCGGUCAUGACUGCACCAUCUCCCUCGAGGUCUGGCACCAACCACCUCUCAGUUUCAACACUGACCCUCGUUUCUGUUAUAGUUUCUUCUGUCACGUAUAUUUUGUUUUUUUAAUUAAUUGCAAUUUCCCUCGUUAUCAUAUAUAUUUAUGGUUGUCAUUUGAAGACAUAUGAUGUUCUUUUAAUUAGUGCAACAUUCGUAUGUAUGUACUUGGGAUUUGUGUCUUGUGUUCUCUCAAAAAUCAAAUUCGCUAGCUGCACAGUUCCCUGAAUAUUUCCAACAUACCAUAACAGAUUUCUCAACUUCAUAUAUUAACAAAUUCUCUCUUGUUCCGUAAUAUCUAUGUUUUUAAAAAAAAAUGGUUAAAAACUGCAACGCAAAUCCAUGAUACCUCAGACCAUACUGCUUGCAAGCCGGGAUAACAGUUUUGAGAGGCUAUUACAACGUGGUUGCUUUAUGUUGCUUUAUGUAUCUGCAGGUCUCUCUAUAAGGUCUUUAGUUGUGUACAUGAGACAGAUUGUCAGAGUACGUAUUGUUAAAGAAGGUGUAGCGAGAUUGCUUGUCUGACUUUUGCAUUCAGCAUACACACAUAGAAUGAGAUAAUACCUUCGUUUGUUGUAUCUUUGAGAUAAGUAAAUACAAAAGCAAAAGGAAAGAAGACAAAACAAUAUCUAUAAACUCCAAAGAAUCAUCAUUAUUGAAGAUGAUGAUACAUGUGUAAAGAAAAAAAAAUUUCCAGAAGACUCUAAAAGUAUGAAACAGAAACGACUCUUAUUAUACUAAAGGCUAUCAAUUUGAUGAAUGUGGAUCUAAUAUUUGUGAUGCUGUUAUGCACAACACGUAUGAUCACAUGAGAAAGGGAUUGAUAAAAAUCUUAAGUAGUCUUCACAAAUAAAGUUUUGUGGGAUCCUUGGGAAGCAGCUAAUGAUCCAUAAUUGGUUAAUAGGAUGUCAAACCAUGAACUUUCUAAGUGUGUCACUUCUCCGGUGGUAGAGAUUCUGUGAAAAUUGUUUGAUUUAUUGUAGAGUUAGAUCUGAUUUUUUAGGAACAAUAAUGCUAGAAUCCUUUCUUAUUGUUUUGGAUGUUGGUGUAUGAGAACGAGAAUGCUUAAUCUAAUGUAUAACUUUGGUAUUUUCUUCUGUUUAUGGUUUUUACAGUAAGUUUAGCUUAUGAAUGAUACACCAAACAGCUACCAUCAAACUAAGAUAACUGUAAACUUUAAACAAACCAUAAACGAGACCCUAAACGAUAUGGAGAAAUCAUGGAAUGAGAAAGAAGAAAAGGUUAACUCGAUUUUUAUUUUUUUAUUUUUUGACAAGGAAAUCGGGCAUCUACACGGUUUAGGAAAGUUAGAAGAUUACAAACAUUUUUGGAAUAUUUUCUUAACAGAACUGCCAAAAUUUUUGGAAAUUAGGUUUUCUUGUCUGUAGAAUGUACCUUCUACACUACACAUCCAUAAGAAGAUUCUAUUAUAUGUAGCCUUUUAAAGGAAAAGUAGAUUUCGUAUUCCUAAAAUUUUAGAAUUACUUCAAAAGUAGAAACUAGAUUCAGAGAAAAUGUAGCAACCUUUACAAUGCAUAGACUUCACAUUCUUCAUAUUUAGAAUUUUAUUUAAAAAUAGAAUAUUGGUUCUAGAGAAAGUAUAUUAACUUGUUUAACUUGAAAUUUGAUUUAUCAAGCCUUUUUUCGUAGAAUAUGAAGUCUACUUUCUAUAAAACAUAAUUUAAAAUUUUAAUUUAACUAGUUUUUCAACCAAAAAAAUACCAGUUUGUCUAUAUAGGUACUUCAUCUAUUUUUCUGUUUUUCAUUUUUUUUUAUUCAUGAAACUGUUUAUUUCAUUAAGUUUUAAAAAUGGAAAGGGUAAAAAAGAAAAAAGACCAAAAAAAAAUUAGGUCUCAUAUACCUAAAAAAAUCCAUAUUUAAGUAAAUACUCUAAACACUAUUGAUAUUUCAAAAUCCCAGUAUUGUCCCUACCCCUGUGAUGUCCUGCCUUGCUCUGCCCUUGCCCCUGCCCAAACUCUAUUCUUCCUUCUCUCUCUCGUAUCCCUUUAUCUCUACCCAAAUAAUACUAUUCAUUCUUUUUUUCUUUUGUAUUUCUCCUAAUCCCUUACACAAAAAAAAAUGAAUUCUUCUUCUCUUUUUAUUUCUACCAUUGUGAUUCCAACGAAUACUAUCUUCUUGACGAGUUCAUCUACAAUAGUUUUUUGCCAGUUUGUUUGAUGUCGACCACGAUUUUGAAGGUUUCAAGCAAGUAAAUGACACUACAAGUGAUAUCUUUUCAAUCCACGUGUUGAUAAAAUCAUAUGGUCCCAUGGAUGUUACUAACCAUUUUGGUGUCGUAAUUUUAAAAUUGUCGGUUGAUGUUACCAAAAAGUUGUGGUUUGAUACAUGAUUUGUAAAUUUUACAUAAUGUAUUGUUAUUAACUCAUACAUGUUUUUUAGCUGUUACAAAACAUGUUUUCUUUUAAAAAUUUGUGGGUAAGAUGUUUAAGUAGCUUGUGUUAGCUAUAUAUGCUUUGUUAAAUGCUAUAGAAUAAGUUGUAAGGCUAACUUAAUCAAUAUCUGUUUAACUUCUAUAUUUUUUACUGUUAAAAAUUAUUGUAUCUUAUGUAAACUAAUAAUUUACCUCUACCAUAUGUUUUACAUGCUAAAUAAUAUAUUACAUUAAAUCAUUGCUUCUGUUAUAUGAUAAGUAUAAUUUUAUAAUAAAAAAGUUAUCCACUAACAAUUUAUAUAACAUCUUGAGUUAAAGCUUAGUGUUAAACUUCCUUUGUACAAAAUAGUUGUGUUCAUAUGAUACAUAAUUUGUUAGAUGUUUCAUAAUAGGUUAACAUGAUUACUUAAUCUUUAGCAUAUAUUUUAAGUUAUAUAUGUAAUUUCUAUUGCAAUCCCUAGUCCUCCCAUUUAUUUUCAGUUCCAAAAAUUUAACUGGAAAAUACAUAAAUUGGGAGGAAAAUCUAUAGUCGUGUUUCAAAUUGAUAUCCCAGAAAACUUGGAGGUUUGGCUUUCUUUGAAUUCAUGAUUCAAUGGCAUUCUUUGCGCUUUAAAUACAUUGAUGUGAUGGUGACGAUGACAAAUUGAGGAGAGAUGUUAGCAUUUUGUGGUAAAAAUGGAGUAAAGAUCAUUAGUGGGAUUUAAAAAGAAGAAUGAAUUAUUUCAAGAAAAGCUUUUAUUUCACUAAAGAUUAAAAAAAGGGAGAGAAAGA